rnacentral:rRNA from 1 species
UCGGGAAUUUUGGGCAAUGGGCGCAAGCCUGAUCCAGCCAUGCCGCGUGGAUGAUGAAGGCCUUAGGGUUGUAAAAUCCUUUCGCCGAGGACGAUAAUGACGGUACUCGGAGAAGAAGCUCCGGCUAACUUCGUGCCAGCAGCCGCGGUAAUACGAAGGGGGCUAGCGUUGUUCGGAUUUACUGGGCGUAAAGCGCGUGUAGGCGGGUCGUUAAGUUGGGGGUGAAAUCCCGAGGCUCAACCUCGGAACUGCCUUCAAAACUGGCGACCUGGACCUAAGUAGAGGCAAGUGGAAUUGCGAGUGUAGAGGUGAAAUUCGUAGAUAUUCGCAGGAACACCAGUGGCGAAGGCGACUUGCUGGACUUAUGGUGACGCUGAGACGCGAAAGCGUGGGGAGCAAACAGGAUUAGAUACCCUAGUAGUCCCUGAGCGGGCUGGCAAGGCGCAU